CGGGGUGGAGUAACGCGUGGGCAACCUGCCUCAUACAGGGGGAUAACAGUUAGAAAUGACUGCUAAUACCGCAUAAGCGCACGGUUUCGCAUGAAACAGUGUGAAAAACUCCGGUGGUAUGAGAUGGACCCGCGUCUGAUUAGCUAGUUGGUGGGGUAAAGGCCUACCAAGGCGACGAUCAGUAGCCGACCUGAGAGGGUGACCGGCCACAUUGGGACUGAGACACGGCCCAA
rnacentral:rRNA from 1 species